rnacentral:rRNA from 1 species
GACGAACGCUGGCGGCGUGCUUAACACAUGCAAGUCGAACGAUGAAGCCGGAGCUUGCUCUGGUGAAUUAGUGGCGAACGAGUGAGUAACACGUGAGUAACCUGCCCUUGACUCUGGGAUAACUGCGGGGAACUGUAGCUAAUACCGGAUACGACCCUCGGAGGCAUCUCCUGGGGGUGGAAAGAAUUUCGGUCAAGGAUGGACUCGCGGCCUAUCAGCUAGUUGGUGAGGUAAAGGCUCACCAAGGCGACGACGGGUAGCCGGCCUGAGAGGGUGACCGGCCACACUGGGACUGGGACACGGCCCAGACUCCUACGGGAGGCAGCAGUGGGGAAUAUUGCACAAUGGGCGCAAGCCUGAUGCAGCAACGCCGCGUGAGGGAUGACGGCCUUCGGGUUGUAAACCUCUUUUAGCAGGGAAGAAGCGAAGGUGACGGUACCUCAUGAAUAAGGACCUGCAAAACUCGUGCCAGCCGCCGCGGUAA